rnacentral:rRNA from 1 species
UACGGAGGAUGCGAGCGUUAUCCGGAUUUAUUGGGUUUAAAGGGUGCGCAGGCGGCACGGCAAGCCGGCGGUCAAAUCGCGGGGCUCAACCCCGCCCAGCCGUCGGAACUGCCGGGCUAGAGUGGGCGAGAAGUGCGCGGAAUGCGUGGUGUAGCGGUGAAAUGCAUAGAUAUCACGCAGAACUCCGAUUGCGAAGGCAGCGCACCGGCGCCCUACAGACGUUCAGGCACGAAAGCGUGGGUAUCGAACAGG